rnacentral:rRNA from 1 species
GAUGAACGCUGGCGGCGUGCCUAAUACAUGCAAGUCGAGCGAACAGAUGAGGAGCUUGCUCCUCUGACGUUAGCGGCGGACGGGUGAGUAACACGUGGAUAACCUACCUAUAAGACUGGGAUAACUUCGGGAAACCGGAUCUAAUACCGGAUAAUAUAUUGUACCGCAUGGUUCAAUAGUGAAAGACGGUUUUGCUGUCACUUAUAGAUGGAUCCGCGCCGCAUUAGCUAGUUGGUAAGGUAACGGCUUACCAAGGCAACGAUGCGUAGCCGACCUGAGAGGGUGAUCGGCCACACUGGAACUGAGACACGGUCCAGACUCCUACGGGAGGCAGCAGUAGGGAAUCUUCCGCAAUGGGCGAAAGCCUGACGGAGCAACGCCGCGUGAGUGAUGAAGGUCUUCGGAUCGUAAAACUCUGUUAUUAGGGAAGAACAAAUGUGUAAGUAACUAUGCACGUCUUGACGGUACCUAAUCAGAAAGCCACGGCUAACUACGUG